AUUGAACGCUGGCGGAAGGCCUAACACAUGCAAGUCGAACGAGUGGCGGACGGGUGAGUUAUGUCUGGGAAACUGCCUGAUGGAGGGGGAUCACUUCUCGAAACGGUAGCUUAUACCGCAUACCAUCAGAUGUGCCCAGUUGGGAUUUGCUAGUUGGUGGGGUAACGGCUCACCAAGGCGACGAUCCCUAGCUGGUCUGAGAGGAUGACGAGCCACACGGGAAGGGAGACACGGUCCAGACUCCUACGGGAUGCAGCAGUGGGGAAUAUUGCACAAUGGGCGCAAGCCGGAUGCAGCCAUGCCGAGUGGAUGAAGAAGGGCUUCGGGUUGGAAAGUACUUCUAGCGGGGAGGAGGUACCCUAAGAAGAAGCACCGGCUAACUCCGUGCCAGCAGCCGCGGUAAUUC
rnacentral:rRNA from 1 species